rnacentral:rRNA from 1 species
UACGUAGGGGGCAAGCGUUGUCCGGAAUCAUUGGGCGUAAAGAGCGUGUAGGCGGUCCGGUAAGUCCGCUGUGAAAGUCGGGGGCUCAACCCUCGAAUGCCGGUGGAUACUGUCGGGCUAGAGUGCGGAAGAGGCGAGUGGAAUUCCUGGUGUAGCGGUGAAAUGCGCAGAUAUCAGGAGGAACACCUAUUGCGAAGGCAGCUCGCUGGGACGUAACUGACGCUGAGACGCGAAAGCGUGGGGAGCAAACAGG